rnacentral:misc_RNA from 1 species
CAGCCCGGUAAUUCCAGCUCCAAUAGCGUAUAUUAAAGUUGUUGCAGUUAAAAAGCUCGUAGUUGAAUUUCGGGAUCAAAUUGUCGGUCGUGCCUCGGUACGCACUGGUAUUAUUGGUUCCUACCUUCUGAAGAACCGCGAUGUCAUUAAUUUGGUGUCGUGGGGAAUCAGGACUGUUACUUUGAAAAAAUUAGAGUGUUUAAAGCAGGCUUACGCUUGAAUACAUUAGCAUGGAAUAAUGAAAUAGGACGUUUGAUUCUAUUUUGUUGGUUUCUAGGAUUGACGUAAUGAUUAAUAGGGAUAGUUGGGGGCAUUAGUAUUCAAUUGUCAGAGGUGAAAUUCUUGGAUUUAUUGAAGACUAACUACUGCGAAAGCAUUUGCCAAGGAUGUUUUCAUUAAUCAAGAACGAAAGUUAGGGGAUCGAAGACGAUCAGAUACCGUCGUAGUCUUAACCAUAAACUAUGCCGACUAGGGAUCGGAUGAUGUUAAUUUUUUAAUGACUCAUUCGGCGCCUUACG